GCAGGGACAAAAAUGCAAUCUUUUGAGUAUGACUGCGUCAUGUAGUCGGGUGAUGAUUGAGCAGGAACAUGAAGGCCAUCAAUAAUUGGACGUUGAUGAAAUCCGGCUCAAGAUAUCAUCCAGUAAGCACGCAUGGCAGGCAUAUUUCUAGGUAUAGCUCACACUCUCUUUCUCUCGCAUAAGAUUCAUACAAGCAAAUAAGAUUUAUGCAAAUAAAUGAAUAUCUGGAUCAUCCACAAUCAUUUUGAGAUCUGUACAUAGGCGAACGAGCAUCUGGAUCAUCUACUGAUAUCUUUAAGAUAUGUGCAGGAAGAUGAAUAUUUGAAUCAUCCAUAAUUAUUUUAAAAUUUAUGAAUAUAUGGAUAAUCCAUGUUUUUUUGAUAUUUGCAUAAGCAUAUGAAUAUUUGGAUGAUCUAUGGUUAUGUUGAGAUCUGUACAAGUACAUGAACAUAAGGAUCAUCCACUGUUGCUUUGAGAUAUGUGCAUACAGAUGAAUAACUGGAUUAUCCAUGGUUGCAUUAAAAGAUGUGUAAAUGGAUGGAUAAUCUUAAUCAUCCACCGAUGGUUUUGAUAUCUGCAUAAAUGGAUGAAUAACCUAGAUUAUCCAUAUUGUUACUUUGAUAUUUGUACAGGC
rnacentral:lncRNA from 1 species